rnacentral:rRNA from 1 species
GAUGAACGCUGGCGGCGUGCCUAAUACAUGCAAGUCGAGCGCUGGGGGGGCGGGGGCGUAACACGUAGAAAACCGCCUCUACCUCUGGGAUAACGUCGGGAAACCGGUGCUAAACCGGAUACUCAGAGAUGGAUCCGCGAUGCAUUCGCUAGUUGGUAAGGUAACGGCUUACCAAGGCAACGACGCAUAGCCGACCUGAGAGGGUGAUCGGCCACACUGGAACUGAGACACGGUCCAGACUCCUACGGGAGGCAGCAGUGGGGAAUCUUCCGCAAUGGGCGAAAGCCUGACGGAGCAACGCCGCGUGAGUGAGGAAGGUCUUCGGAUCGUAAAACUCUGUUAUUAGGGAAGCGGUACCUAAUCAGAAAGCCACGGCUAACUACGUGCCAGCAGCCGCGGUAAUUC